AUUGAACGCUGGCGGCAUGCUUUACACAUGCAAGUCGAACGGUAACAGGUUAAGCUGACGAGUGGCGAACGGGUGAGUAAUGCAUCGGAACGUGCCCGGUCGUGGGGGAUAACGCAGCGAAAGCUGCGCUAAUACCGCAUACGAUCUGAGGAUGAAAGCGGGGGACCGUAAGGCGUCGCGCGAUCGGAGCGGCCGAUGUCAGAUUAGGUACUUGGGGAGGUAAAGGCUCACCAAGCCAACGAUCUUUAGCUGGUCUGAGAGGACGACCAGCCACACUGGGACUGAGACACGGCCCAGACUCCUACGGGAGGCAGCAGUGGGGAAUUUUGGACAAUGGGCGAAAGCCUGAUCCAGCAAUGCCGCGUGCAGGAAGAAGGCCUUCGGGUUGUAAACUGCUUUUGUACGGAGCGAAAAGGCUCUCUCUAAUACAGGAGGCUCAUGACGGUACCGUAAGAAUAAGCACCGGCUAACUACGUGCCAGCCGCCGCCGUAACAC
rnacentral:rRNA from 1 species